UGUAGCUCAGUGAUAGAGCUCUUGCCUAAUACAUAUGAAGCCCUGGGUUCAAUCCCCAGCA
rnacentral:tRNA from 1 species